rnacentral:sRNA from 1 species
CGGCGAUUUAGGAAGGUUCAUGGCACAUACAAAAAAUGAUUUCAUGCAAGCAUAUCUUACCUCUGUUCCCAAAUCCUUCUCUUCUUGAAUCUUCUUUCCAAUGACUUCCUCUCCUUCUCCUCCUCUCCAGUAGCCUCUUCUCUCAAAUUCUUAUCUCUUCCCCCGUUUGGAUGUAUGUCAUUUUUUUUUGUCCAGAGAUCUCUUGAAUCUAUGUCAUUAUGAUGUUGUUGACC